rnacentral:piRNA from 1 species
UGGAGCUGUGUCCUUGAUGCCUUAACCUAAUC